AUUGAACGCUGGCGGCAGGCCUAACACAUCCAAGUCGAACGAGUGGCGGACGGGUGAGUAAUGUCUGGGAAACUGCCUGAUGGAGGGGGAUAACUACUGGAAAAGGUAGCUAAUACCGCAUACACUCGGAUGUGCCCAGAUGGGCUUAGCUAGUAGGUGGGGUAAAGGCUCACCAAGGCGCCGAUCCCUAGCUGGUCAGAGAGGAUGACCAGCCACACGUGAACUGAUACACGGUCCAGAGUCCUACGGGAGUCAGCAGUGGGGAAUAGUGCACAAUGGGCGCGAGCCUGAUGCAGCCAUGCCGCGUGUAUGAAGAAGGCCUUCGGGUUGUAAAGUACUUUCAGCGGGGAGGCGUUACUCGCAGAAGAAGCACCGGCUAACUCCGUGCCAGCAGCCGCGGUAAUUC
rnacentral:rRNA from 1 species